rnacentral:piRNA from 1 species
UUGAAAUUCAGCCCGUAUACUUGUCUAUAC